CGUAGCGAAGGCGAGUCUCAAAAGGCGUUUUGAGUCGCGCGCCCUGGACCCGAAGCGGGAUGAUCUAGCCCUGGGCAGGUUGAAGCGCGGGUAAGACCGCGUGGAGGACCGAACCCACCUGGGUUGAAAACCGGGGGGAUGACCUGGGGCUAGGGGUGAAAGGCCAAUCAAAUUCCGUGAUAGCUGGUUCUCUCCGAAAUGCAUUUAGGUGCAGCGUCGGUUGAUUGCAUCGCGGGGGUAGAGCUACUGGAUGCUUGCGGGCCCGUGUCGGGUACCAAUAGCAGCCAAACUCCGAAUACCGUGGAUGUGUAUUCCGGCAGUGAGUCGGCGGGGGAUAAGCUCCGUCGUCGAGAGGGAGACAGCCCAGAUCGUCGUCUAAGGUCCCGAAGCGUGUGCUAAGUGGGAAAGGAUGUGGAGUCGCAUAGACAGCCAGGAGGUUGGCUCAGAAGCAGCCAUCCUUGAAAGAGUGCGUAACAGCUCACUGGUCUAGUGGUUCCGCGCCGACAAUGUAGCGGGGCUCAAGCACACCACCGAAGACGCGGCAGCGGCCUUUGCGGCCGUUGGGUAGGAGAGCGUCCCGCGUGGGGCGAAGCGGCCGGGGAACCGUGCCGUGGACCGCGCGGGAGUGAGAAUGCAGACAUGAGUAGCGAGAGACGGGUGAGGAUCCCGUCCGCUGGAUGACCAAGGGUUCCGGGGCCACGUUCGUCGUCCCCGGGUGAGUCGGGUCCUAAGGCGAGGCCGACAGGCGUAGUCGAAUGGAUGAACGGGUGGAUAUUCCCGUACCGGCGGCGUACCGUAAGAGCCGAACGGAUGAGUACUAACCUCCGGUCGCGUGGCGUCGUUCCCUUCGGGGUUCGGGGCGCGUGGCUGUUGGGAGCGUAGUCCUGGUAGGCUAGCGCACAGGGGUGACACGGAAUGGGAGCCGGCCGCGGAGGUGGUUUUCCGUGGUCAAGCACGCAGCCCGUCCCAUAGGCAAAUCCGUGGGACGCAUAGGGUGAGGUGUGAUGAUGGGCGUCCUUUGGACGCGAUAUCCGGUGGUCCAGGCCGUCGAGAAAAGCCUCGGCGCGAGGGGCGUCGCCGCCCGUACCCCAAACCGACACUGGUGGUCAGGUAGAGAAUACCAAGGCGAUCGAGCGAAUCCUGGUCAAGGAACUCGGCAAAUCACUCCCGUGCCUUCGGUAUAAGGGAGACCCCCGGGCGUGAAGAGGCUUGCCCUCGGAGCGUUGGGGGGUGGCACAGACCAGGGGGUAGCGACUGUUUACCAAAAACACAGGUGCAUGCGAAGGCGCAAGCCGCUGUAUAUGCACUGACGCCUGCCCGGUGCCGGAAGGUUAAGAGGAUCCGUCAGCCCCUUUUGGGGUGAAGCGGUGAAUUCAAGCCCCGGUAAACGGCGGUGGUAACUAUAACCAUCCUAAGGUAGCGAAAUUCCUUGUCGGGUAAGUUCCGACCUGCACGAAUGGCGUAACGA
rnacentral:rRNA from 1 species